rnacentral:lncRNA from 1 species
CAAGCUCUGGCGUUCCUGCUUGAUACCUUAAGACCAGAAAGUGGAGCAUAUGAUCAAGACUUCAGUCUUGCUGCCCAAGAGAGCACCCCUUACCUGCCAGACUCUGAGUUCCCUUGCCCAGAACCUGGAAGGCUCCAUACAUACUUGAGAGGUGAUGGGACUAUGGAAAUCAGGAGUUCUACUCACCUCACAUCCAGACACAGUAUGGUUCUCCACUCCUGCCCUAAUGCUCAGGUCCCUUUCAUCCAAAAGUGUGUGUUGUGGGUGGAGGUGAUGGUGUAAUUGCCACAGACUACGAUGUAAAUGGCAGAGUCAUGCCAUGUGGUGGCCCUGGUCUUGAAAGACAUUGAAGAGCUUGCCAAACAGAGAGCAGUGUGUGGGAAGGCCGAGGGCUUUGACGUGUCAUGAAGAGAAGUUCAACUGCAUGGGGCGCCUGGGGGUGUGAGGGGAUAACUGGAUGUGGCUGGAUUGUGAAAGGCCUUGAAGACCGCGUGAAGGAGGACUGUGGGAAGUCAAAAGCAGGGGUGAGCAAGGGAAGAGAGCAAGAAAUGGGCAAAGCCAGGACCAGGCCCUGACAGAGGAUGAGCAAUCACCCACCAAGAUGGGG